UCGGAAUCUCGCUUCCAUAACGCUUCUAAAAAAUUCAUUUUGGAAGCUCCUUGGAAGCUUACGAUUCUAUUUUGGAAGGUUGCGAUUCUAUUUAAAAAAUUUGAUGUCACAAAAUAAAUAAGAAAUAAGAAAUUAUUUUUGAUAGUUUUUUUAUACAACAAAAGAAAAACCAAAACUAAUUUUGCAUACUAAUUUUGUAUUUUAUUUUUUUAAAUAUCAAAGUUAGAAAAAUGAUAGCAGCAUGGAUCAUUUAUU
rnacentral:lncRNA from 1 species